rnacentral:rRNA from 1 species
UACAGAGGUCCCGAGCGUUGUUCGGAUUCACUGGGCGUAAAGGGUGCGUAGGUGGCGAGGUAAGUCGGAUGUGAAAGCCCGGAGCUCAACUCCGAAAUGGCAUUGGAAACUACCUUGCUCGAGGGUUGGAGGGGGGACUGGAAUACUUGGUGUAGCAGUGAAAUGCGUAGAUAUCAAGUGGAACACCAGUGGCGAAGGCGAGUCCCUGGACAACUCCUGACACUGAGGCACGAAAGCGUGGGGAGCAAACAGG